UGAGGAAAUGGAAGAAAGAGGAAGUGACUUGCCCAAAGUUACCUCACAAAGGACAAAGAGAAGAGUUAAGCUGGGUAAGACUGGUUGUAUCCGAGAAGCACAGCUGAGAUGUUCUUGGUUUUCAAAGGGUCUUCCCUUGUCUUUGUGUUUGGGUACUCUGCAAGUGCAGCCAGAUGCACACACGUUUCGUGCUAUCAGCUCCAGAUGUCGAUGGAGAAUCCAUCAAGUUAAGCCCAACGAAGUCCCACCUGUCAAGCCAGGAGCUGGUUAGCAGCAGCAUUCUUCCUCGAGGAGCGCAAACCAGGGAAUAUCCAUUUUCCUUGCUGACACCCUGAGGUUGUAAGGCAGCCCGAGUGCUCGGGCCGUUUACAUGAAGCCCAUCCUAAUUGCAUAGCACUGCUCCGUAAAAAGAAGAUUAGGCCUCAUUAUCCAGGAACGCAUUUGGCAUUUUUCUCCUCUGACUGAAACUGUUUAAAGUGCUGGACACUAUCUCUCUCCCUGUCUAUACAUCAAUUCCUCUGCUGUCAAAAUGCCCCAGCCACAUCCUGCCUUUUCUCAGGGUUGAAAAUGUUCAAAUUGGGUCAACUAAGAGGGGAAAAAAUGUUAUCAUUUCACCAGUUCCCCCCCCCACCUUAGGAAAGGUUCCCCAGCUUUUCUGUCUUUGCUUUUCUUAUUCUGAGUUAUAGUAAAACCUCUGCUAACGAGA